ensembl:misc_RNA Y_RNA Y RNA
GGCUGGUCCGAAGGUGGUGAGUUACCUCAGAUGAUUGUUAACAGUCAGUUACAGAUCCAACUCCUUGUUCUACUCUCUCCCCUUUCCUCACUAUUGUACUUGACUAGUCUUAA